rnacentral:rRNA from 1 species
UACGUAGGGGUCGAGCGUUGUCCGGAGUUACUGGGCGUAAAGCGUGCGCAGGCGGCUCAUUGCGCCCGGCGUGAAAGCCCCCGGCUCAACCGGGGAGGGUCGUCGGGGACGGGUGAGCUUGAGGGUAUCAGGGGUUGGUGGAAUUCCCGGUGUAGUGGUGAAAUGCGUAGAUAUGUGGAGGAACACCGAUGGCGAAGGCAGCCCCCUGGGAUAACACUGACGCUCAUGCACGAAAGCGUGGGGAGCAAACAGG